UCCUCACCCUCCUCCCUCCGAUGUGCACGAUAUCUUCUUCUAAUAAUACACAUAGCUACUAUUCGAUAAAUAUACGAUGCGAAUAAAGCAAUACAUCUGCUUAUCGAUUUUCAUCGCGAAUGUGAAUCUGAAAAUAGAUUUUCCCACCCACACUCUCCCUCUCUCUCUCUCUCUCUCUCUCUCUCUUUCUCUUUCUCUCUUUUUGUCGAAGAAACCACGUUAGAGAGAGAAAGAGAGAGAGAGAGAGAGAGAGAGAGAGAGAGAAAAGACUCGCGGCACUUUGCCCAAAGGGUAGAUGGAGAGAGAGAGACAGCUUCAUUUUUCAAACGGAAGGAAGUAAGACAGACAGACAGACAGACAGACAGACAGGCAAGUAGGCAGGCAGGCAGGCAAGCAAGGAGAGAACUUAAGAAGGACGAAUAAGGGUUCGCUGAACAUCGAAUUAACUCUUCGGGGCUUCAACGGAAAAUCAAAAGGCGUCUUUUACUAAAUUCAUUGGACGGUUACGAGAAAGGAAGGGUAGAUGAAAGAGAGAAGAAAGAUGAUUAAAAGAAAGAGAGAGAGAGAGAGAGAGAGAGACUGAAAGAAGAAAAAGAGACAAUAAAAAAAUAAAAUGACGUACGGAUGGAUGAAAUAUCGAAUUAAUUCGUUUGACGACUGUUUUUCGUUCCGUAAAAAGGUAGGAAUAGUGGGAGAUGAUGAAGAAUAAAAAAAAAAAAAAUAAUGUUAAAUAAACAAUCGCAAAUCUUUCGAGUAGAAAGGGAAAAAGGAAAAAAAAAAGAAAAGAAAAGCGAAGAAAAAGAUUGUACCUGAGUUUAGAUUAAAGAAGAAGAGAAACGAUGACGAUGGACGGACAGAGAACAGCCAGACAGAUAGUGAAAAAGAGAGAGAGAUAGAGAGAGAGAGAGAGAGAGAUAUAUAGACUAAUAAACAGACAGACCGAAAGAGUGAAAGAGAGAGAGAGAGAGAGAGAGAGAGAGAGAGGAAGAGGGAGACGAUUGCUCGGUUAUUUCUGGUACUUUCGAUGAUCACCCAAGAAUUCGUUCAACCUUUAUCGUCUACACUACGUAAUAAACGCGCUUCUAACUCGAGUACCGGAUCUCAUUCACGACAGACUCGAACAAAGAUACUGAGGAGAGAGCUCGCACUCGAGAAGCGAAAGAGUACGAUCGAAACUCUUCUACUGGCUUCUCCGUACGUAUACCUGCAAGUUGUAGAAAAUGAAAAAAAAAGAGAGAGAAGAGAGGAGAAAAGAAAAAUUGGAAAAAAAGAAGAAGGAGAACGAAAACUUCAAAAAAGAAAAAAAAAAGAGAAAAAGAAAAGGAAAAAAAGAAAAAGAUAGAAACGAAUUACUUCUAACGGUUGGUUAUAGUUUGAAACAAUAUUAGAGAACAAUCUUGAUGAGGAUUCUUAUCAAACGAGAAAGAUGAAAAGGCAGUUCGUUGUAAGAAAAAUUUAACGAUAAAAAAGGAAAAGAGAGAAGAAAGAAGAAAAAAGAAAGUCGUAAUGAUUUUUAUAUACCAUUUUGAUACGAUGGAUACAUUAUUAAAUGAAUAUGAGAUAAAAUAACGUGCUUCUAAUGUUGCGCGUUUUCCUUCUAUGAUUUUCAAACUCCGAUUGGUACCAUCUCGUUCUUUCUUAAACCUAUAUAAAAAAAAGAAAUGAAAAGUUGAUGAAAAAGAAGAGAAGUAAAAAAAAAAAAAAGAGAAAAAAAAAUGGUCGAACUGAAAAUUGAACCAAAGUCUCAGUAUCGUAUGUAUAUCGUUCAUUUGCCGAGGCAAUCGUUCAUUUGUCGAGAUGAUUGAUACAUAAAAAAAAAAAAAAAAAAAAAAAAAAAAAAAAAAAAAAAAAAAAACAAAAAGACAAAAAAACAAGGGAAA